rnacentral:rRNA from 1 species
CCCAACAGCUAGCCCACCGACUACAACUAAUAUUAACUUAUUUAUACCCCCUCAUGUACUAAAAUAAGAAAACCAAACCAUUUCACCCCCUAAGUAUGGGCGACAGAAAAGAAUCUUACGGAGCAACAGAAAAAGUACCGCAAGGGAACGCUGAAAAAGAAAAUGAAAUAACCUAGUAAAGUCCUAAAAAGCAGAGCCUACCCCUCGUACCUUUUGCAUCAUGAUUUAGUAAGUCCCAAUCAAGCAAAAAGCAUUUUAGUUUGACCCCCCGAAACCAAGUGAGCUACUCCAAGACAACCUAACCUAGGGUGAACCCGUCUCUGUGGCAAAAGAGUGGGAAGAGCUUUGAGUAGGGGUGACAGACCUAUCGAACCUGGUAAUAGCUGGUUGCUUGAGAAAUGAAUAGGAGUUCUGCUUCUUAUAUUCUUCCCCUCUUCCCGGGCCACAAGACCCUAACAUAGAUAAAAGAAAUUUAAGAAAGUUAAUCAAAGGGGGUACAGCCCCUUUGAGACAAGACACAACUUUUUUAGGAGGAUAAAGAUCACAUUUUGAUAAGGAACUCGUGUUAUAGUGGGCCUAAAAGCAGCCACCCAGAUAGAAAGCGUUAAAGCUCUGACACCCCCUCCCCCAAAAUACCGAUAAUUAAAUCUUAGUCCCCUAACCGUAUCAAGCCGUCCCAUAACAACAUGGGAGUGAUUAUGCUAAUAUGAGUAACAAGAGAGUACGCCUCUCUCCCUGCACCUGUGUAAAUCGGAACGGACCCCCCACCGAAACUUAACGGGCCCAAACUAAGAGGGCAUUGAAUGGCAGACAACACACCAGAAAACUAUUCAACAAUCUUACCGUUAACCCCACACUGGAGUGCCCCCCGGGAAAGGCCAAAAGGGAGAGAAGGAACUCGGCAAACACCUCAAGCCUCGCCUGUUUACCAAAAACAUCGCCUCUUGUUAACACCAUAUAAGAGGUCCCGCCUGCCCUGUGACCCCAAGUUUAACGGCCGCGGUAUCCUGACCGUGCAAAGGUAGCGCAAUCACUUGUCCCUUAAAUGAGGACCUGUAUGAAUGGCAUAACGAGGGCUUAACUGUCUCCUUUCCCCAGCCAAUGAAAUUGAUCUUCCCGUGCAGAAGCGGGAAUACCAACAUAAGACGAGAAGACCCUAUGGAGCUUUAGACACUAGAACAGACCAUGUCAGCUACCCCUAUAAAAAAGUAGUAAUUAUUGAACCCCUGUUCUCCGUCUUCGGUUGGGGCGACCACGGGGAAUAAUAAAACCCCCAUGUGGACCGAGAGCACACCACUCCCAAAACCACGAGCCACCGCUCUAAAUAACAGAAUUUCUGACCAAAAAGAUCCGGCAACGCCGAUCAACGGACCCAGUUACCCUAGGGAUAACAGCGCAAUCCUCUUCAAGAGUCCAUAUCGACAAGAGGGUUUACGACCUCGAUGUUGGAUCAAGACAUCCUAAUGGUGCAGCCGCUAUUAAGGGUUCGUUUGU